CAAACUGCGUGAAUGUUUUGACUAGUUGCUCAGUUGGGCCCAAGCUAUUCGUUUAAUGACUAUCCACAAAUGUUUGCACAAAAGGCUGGGUUGCUUGCUUGUGCAAACUUUUUGGAAUGGUUAAUCUUCAGUCACUAAAUCAUGGUUUGGGAGCAGAAAUAAAGUAGUGACUAGCAAACAGGCAGUGACACAGAGCUCUCCUCAGCUGUGCCAGCAGAUGGGCCAAAACCUGCAUGUUCUCCUGUGGCCAUGGUGGAUAUGGGCAUAUAAUCUCCUACCUCCUGGUCUGUGACACAGCUCCUCCUGGUCAUGUUCAGGCACGGAGCUAAAGUGAAGUAUUUAAUUAUCACAGAGUGUUUGGGUUGGUGACACUUCUGAGUAUCCAGCCUUUGCCUGGCCUCUUCCAGUUGAGUGGCUGCCACAGCUGGCAAGGAGCUUUCAUGCUGAAAAAGAACUUUUCACAAACAUUUUCAAAAAGAAUUUCCUUUCAGUUAUUUUCCUAACCAAUGUUGAUUCCUGUCCCUGACCCCAGUAACAGGGUUUUGGGGAUGGCUUGUGGUGGGUAGCAGGGGGAAACUCCCUGGAAAUCCUCUGCUGUGAAAAGUAUUGCAUUCCUGCUAGAUUUUGUAUCCAGGUGA